GACGAAGGGGGCUAGCGUUGUUCGGAAUUACUGGGCGUAAAGCGCGCGUAGGCGGCCACUUAAGUCGGAUGUGAAAGCCCCUGGCUCAACUGGGGAAGUGCACCCGAAACUGAAUGGCUUGAGUGCGAAAGAGGGUCGCGGAAUUCCCGGUGUAGAGGUGAAAUUCGUAGAUAUCGGGAGGAACACCGGUGGCGAAGGCGGCGACCUGGGUCGACACUGACGCUGAGGCGCGAAAGCGUGGGGAGCAAACAGG
rnacentral:rRNA from 1 species